rnacentral:rRNA from 1 species
UACGGAGGGGACUAGCGUUGUUCGGAAUUACUGGGCGUAAAGCGCACGUAGGCGGCUUUGUAAGUUAGAGGUGAAAGCCCGGGGCUCAACUCCAGAACUGCCUUUGAUACUGGCAAGCUUGGAGUCCGGGAGAGGUGAGUGGAACUGCGAGUGUAGAGGUGAAAUUCGUAGAUAUUCGCAAGAACACCAGUGGCGAAGGCGGCUCACUGGCCCGAUACUGACGCUGAGGCACGAAAGCGUGGGGAGCAAACAGG